rnacentral:rRNA from 1 species
UACGUAGGGUGCAAGCGUUGUCCGGAAUUAUUGGGCGUAAAGAGCUCGUAGGCGGUCUGUCGCGUCUGCUGUGAAAACUCAGGGCUUAACCCUGAGCUUGCAGUGGGUACGGGCAGACUAGAGUGCGGUAGGGGAGACUGGAAUUCCUGGUGUAGCGGUGAAAUGCGCAGAUAGUCAGGAGGAACACCGGUGGCCGAAGGCGGGUCUCUGGGCCGAUACUGACGCUGGAGGAGCGAAAGCGUGGGGAGCGAACAGG